rnacentral:rRNA from 1 species
CCAGAGAGGGUGGUCGGCCACACUGGGACUGAGAUACGGCCCAGACUCCUACGGGAGGCAGCAGUCGAGAGGCUUCGGCAAUGGGGGAAACCCUGACCGAGCGACGCCGCGUGGGUGAUGAAGAUUCUCGGAUCGUAAAACCCUGUCAGGUGGGAUGAAAUACCAUUCGGUUAACACCCGAGUGGCUUGACAGUACCACCAGAGGAAGCUCCGGCUAACUCCGUGCCAGCAGCCGCGGUAACACGGGGGGAGCAAGCGUUGUUCGGAUUCAUUGGGCGUAAAGAGCUCGUAGGCGGCUCUGUAAGUCGGGGGUGAAAUAUCACGGCUCAACCGUGAAAACGCCUUCGAAACUGCGGAGCUUGAGGCCGGGAGAGGAAAUCGGAAUUCCUGGUGUAGCGGUGAAAUGCGUAGAUAUCAGGAGGAACACCGGUGGCGAAGGCGGAUUUCUGGACCGGUUCUGACGCUCAGGAGCGAAAGCCAGGGGAGCAAACAGGAUUAGAUACCCUGGUAGUCCUGGCUGUAAACGAUGGGCACUAGGUGUGGGGGGAUCGACCCCUUCCGUGCCGCAGUUAACGCAUUAAGUGCCCCGCCUGGGGAGUACGACCGCAAGGUUGAAACUCAAAUGAAUUGACGG